AACGAACGCUGGCGGCAUGCCUAACACAUGCAGGUCGAACGAGACCUUCGGGUCUAGUGGCGCACGGGUGCGUAACGCGUGGGAACCUGCCUUUAGGUUCGGAAUAACUCAGAGAAAUUUGAGCUAAUACCGGAUAAUGUCUUCGGACCAAAGAUUUAUCGCCUUUAGAUGGGCCCGCGUUGGAUUAGCUAGUUGGUGGGUAAAGGCCUACCAAGGCGACGAUCCAUAGCUGGUCUGAGAGGAUGAUCAGCCACACUGGGACUGAGACACGGCCCAGACUCCUACGGAGGCAGCAGUGGGGAAUAUUGGACAAUGGGCGAAAGCCUGAUCCAGCAAUGCCGCGUGAGUGAUGAAGGCCUUAGGGUUGUAAAGCUCUUUUACCCGAGAUGAUAAUGACAGUAUCGGGAGAAUAAGCUCCGGCUAACUCCGUGCCAGCAGCCGCGGUAAU
rnacentral:rRNA from 1 species